UGGCGCACGGGUGCGUAACGCGUGGGAACCUGCCCUUAGGUUCGGAAUAACAGUUAGAAAUGACUGCUAAUACCGGAUAAUGUCUUCGGACCAAAGAUUUAUCGCCUUUGGAUGGGCCCGCGUAGGAUUAGGUAGUUGGUGGGGUAAAAGCCUACCAAGCCGACGAUCCUUAGCUGGUCUGAGAGGAUGAUCAGCCACACUGGGACUGAGACACGGCCCAGACUCCUACGGGAGGCAGCAGUGGGGAAUAUUGGACAAUGGGCGAAAGCCUGAUCCAGCAAUGCCGCGUGAGUGAUGAAGGCCUUAGGGUUGUAAAGCUCUUUUACCAGGGAUGAUAAUGACAGUACCUGGAGAAUAAGCUCCGGCUAACUCCGUGCCAGCAGCCGCGGUAAUACGGAGGGAGCUAGCGUUGUUCGGAAUUACUGGGCGUAAAGCGCACGUAGGCGGCUUUUUAAGUCAGGGGUGAAAUCCCGGGGCUCAACCCCGGAACUGCCUUUGAAACUGGAAAGCUAGAAUACUGGAGAGGUGAGUGGAAUUCCGAGUGUAGAGGUGAAAUUCGUAUAUAUUCGGAAGAACACCAGUGGCGAAGGCGACUCACU
rnacentral:rRNA from 1 species